AGAAACUGUUACUUAAAAAAAAAAAUCAUAAGGAAGAGAAAAUACAUUUACCUUAUUGUACUGUAUUUAUUGGGGAAAAAAAUUGUGUAUAAGUGGACUGACCCGUGCAUAAACAUUUCCCAAACAGCCUGAGAUGGCACAGUAACAUUUUUUAAAGAAUUCCCGACACACACUAUUUUCUUCUCAGGCUGAGGUGCAGUGGCUCU